AUGAUUAUACGCGCGCUGCUGGAGCUGCGUAUGGUUCAUGGUUUAAUUUUAAGUUAAUGGUUUCGUAUCUAUUGUGUGCUACAGUGUUGUUCUAGUUGCGCUGGAAGAACCGGAUGGCGUUCGAGCUUGCGAUCACGAGCGACAGUUGGGUGCAUCGCUGGAGCAGCUCGUUUCCUAAUGCCUUGCAGCGCGUUUACGAUAACUGUGAGGACGGCCGCAGAAGGCUCCGUAUGGCAGAGUACUCGUCGGAUUUGGAUAUGGAACAAGAGCUGAGAAAAAGAAAAAUUCACAAGCCAAGUUGCUAUGUUGAUCAAGAGAUCUGCAAUGUGCGAAAGCCACCACCUAAUUUUCCAAGGCCCUGAAAAGGGCUAGAAAACAAAACUUAUAAGGCUCAGCAGUUCAUGAACUCUUUUCCUUCAAGGAACAUGUCGCUUCUCCCAUUGCAUGAAAUAAUCAGCUCGAAAUCACUAUCGUGACUAGCUUUCUUUCAUUUUCAUUAUUACGUGGUUUUUAACACAUUAUUGCAUAGUAUGUGGGUGAGGCAAGUGAGGAAGGUGUACCAUUAAAAAUAGACAGAAAUUGAGUGGGGUGGUUCCAUUUGUUUGUCGUGAACAAAUCGAUGAAAGAAUUCACUUGAAUCGAAGUUUCCAAGCGAAUGUUUUAUUUAUUUCGAUGACUUGAAACCUCAGAGCCUUGGUUCUCUUGCAGGGAGUCAGGAGAAUGACCAUCCAGAAGGUUAUGUCCCUUAUUAAUCUUUUAAGCAGCAUGUUUUUUUUUUUUGUAUAUGUAAUUAAGUGCUUGUUUUCUUUUCUGCAGAAGAUCCAUGUCUGCCACAGGACUCGUCUGAAUGAAGAUUGGAGUUCACAGAUGUGCACAGAGGAGGCUGCUCAUGUGUCUGAUAGUACAGAGGCACGAGUGCCCCAUUCUACUACAAGGGCCCCACAGCCUAGGUGACGUCCUAGGUAGCUUCUGCCUGUGGAAGAAUUUCAGCAUGAGGUGCUGACACGGCUCUCUGUACUCGGGAUCGUUCAACAGCAGCAAGGCGAGUGGCUAACAGCAUUGCCAACCCGAUGCUCUGUGAAAGAGACUGACAAGGCUCCUGAAGUAGUAGUGGGCUACGCUAUCAAUUGGAGGAGACUCGGGUGCAAGCGUACCAGUGGUCAUUCCGCGCAGAGGAAGGAAUUGCACGCUGCAGUUCAUCGCCACCGACCUGCAGCUCCCAGAGGUCGGUCGGAAGCGGAGCAUUCAUUGGAAUUGCCUACAUCUCUGCUGCCGACACUGUCCACGAAGUUGCUCUCACAAUUACUGUGUUGGCCGGUUGAAGGUCUGGGUCAGCUUUCCCAUGACCUCCGCUUCAAAGCCAAUGCCAAGGAGAUAUUUGCAUGUCCUGAAGCCCGGUCUCUUCAGACCGAGGCGGGCCCCGUCCAUGUCGGCACCGUCAGGCCGAGCCUUAUGGCGCCAUCGUUGACCCUCUGCACAGCCCGUAGUUGACCUUGAUAUAAAGAGCUUGAUAUCAUCUUGUGCCAGUAAAACCAUUUUUCUUCGGGCUCGGCGAGAGUCGUGGGACAGCCUGCCAGCAUGUGUCUGAUGUCAAUGAUGCCGUCGCACACACUACAUUCUUUCCUAAUUUCUCUUUCGGGGUGAAUUUUAUUUGCGAAAUACGGAGUGGGGUAUGUCCCGGUUUGAGGUUCUUAAUGCAUGGUGAGGUUUGAUAUUGAGGUUCUUAAUGCAUGGUGUUCUAUGGAGAAGAGGUUAGGAAAAGUAUAGCAGCAAGGAAUACAGAAACUGAGUUCGGGUCAAUUGAUACUGCUUACCCAAUGUUACUCCAGUUCACUCAAUGAGACUGCAGAGUGCUGCUACACAUGACAGCUUUACAAAAGGGAGCAUGCAAAGGCAAUUUUUUGCACAUGUUCAACGCUCUGUUCUGUCAGCAGUGGUGAAGUAGCUGCUUUUUUUAAUCCUCGUUAUGCCUGCACCUAGCGAUUCACUUGUUCAUGUGCUUUGGACCAGUGAUUUAAACCUUAUUAUAAAACAAUGUAGCAUAUUAUACUGAUUGUACAUCAAGUCCAAACUUCGUUACUCUGUAUUUAUAAGAACUCGCUAAACAAUGCGGAAAAUAUAUUCCUGCCAUUUCUGCAUCCUUUCAAGAGAGUCUCCAGCUCUGUGGAGUAAAAUUAUUUGACUUCUACACAUUUAUUGACAGUGUAACGUAAUUCACGUACAAAGGGACUGUGUACAUACUAAGUAGAUUGCAACAUUUCAGUCAUGUAAUAUUGCCAGUAUUUUGCUGCAACAGUAAAUAUAUAUAAAGUCCUCAUCGACAAGUUCGACAACUAAUCAUUCAUAUAAACAAUUGCAGUAUGUAGGCUUGAGUGAAGCAUUUUUGUGCCCUAUUUAACUAAGCACAAUUAGGUUACUGCAUGAUGCUCUUUUGCAAAUAUCAGUGCAUUAUUUGUGUGCAAGAAACAAAGACUUAUUAAUUAUAAACAGCAAACAGUUAUAUUACCAUAUUACGGUUGUAUACUUAGUUGUGCAGAUUUACUUUCUAUCUGGCAGUUGGCAACUGCUAUAUUAAAACAACAUUGGCCUAAGUUUAAAGGGAAACACAAUAUGAAAAGGAUAUAGUACUUUAUGCCUAUCACACCGGAAUAUAUAUGUACCAUUUUGCCUACACCAUUGGCAGAUUCAGAUGGAGGGCCCUGGAAGUUUGUCUCUUCACCCGAGACAUGUUGGCUCUAAUUCCGACUCAUAUGACUGUAUCUGUUGCGUAGAAAAUCUCUCUCCACCCCGUUCCCCUCCAGUUCUCCUUUUGGAGGAGGCCCCCUUUUGAUGCUAUCCUUGAUGCUAUCCUUGAUCCACUCUUGGCCCACAUCAUAUCAUAAUCGAGGCAUGUAAGGCCACAGAUGCAGCUCUGACAUCAUGCAUACCGUACAGAAUUGUACAUAUGACUGAGCCCAUGCUUAACUAUUCUUCUGAUCAACUGUUAAUUUUUAGACUAACGUCCUUUCCUUUUGCAUGACAGUUAUCUCUGCUGUAUUGCUGCUGCUCUGUCGUGUAUGUAUACCAAUAAAUUAUAUUAGUCAAUUUCUUCUUGAA